rnacentral:lncRNA from 1 species
ACUGGCCCGAAGCAAUAACCAAUUUGCCUUGGAGCUACCCUUGCUAGGCCCAUCUCCUGGCUAGCCAAAGAGGUCCAUCAGCCACUACUUGGGCUACAAUACCUCUUUUUGCCAACUGGCUUGGACCCCCACCGAUUCAUUAUGACUGGACCACCGACGUGAUUCACCCGAUGGGGUUUUUCUCAACUGGCUCCGCCGUCGCUUUGUCCCCUGAAAUCCCAUCCGCUAGCAUGCUAGCCACGGCCUCCUAGCUGUCCAGAGCACAUCGGACUGUUAGCUUAUUAAGAGGACCACAGGACAAAUUCUUUGGCCACUAUACCUAUUCUGCCAAUUGGCCUGGUUUACCACAUGGAGCCCUGCUGAUCCGUCUGCCGAUGUAAUAGCACGAGGGGGCCACAACAGACUUUCUUCCAUCGCGACGUCCCUCCAAGACCCUUCUGUUAGCUUGCUAGCCCCGGCCCGCAAGCUGCCUAAAGCCACUCAAUUGACUCCUAUGAUCACUCGGCUACGCAUGCGUCUCGCUAACAUCAAUAUGCCUUGUCCAUUGCUGUUUUGGUUAUGAGAAUCUACCGUCUGAAGCUGAAGCAAUACCCUUUACCCAAGGACUGUACCUGAAAUGAUACAAGAUCACCGGUGAAUUGUUCAUUAGAAAAGUCCUUAUCAAUCAGUGGAACGGAAGAAGAAUUCCUCACUACCGGCAGACUGUCAGAACAUCAUUUCUAAUAGUUAUCUAUGUGGGACUGAUACCAGUGUGGAAGAGCUGAUCAAUUUUAAAGUUCUUGCUGAGUGAUUACCUUGCCAAUAGGACGAUUGAAUAUUAUAGUCUUGUAGACAAUUAUUUAUUUUGUGAGUUUCCUCCUAAUACAGGAUGUGGUAGGAAUCGUAAGGGACAUCAUCAUUACACAUGUUAAUACUUAUCUUCUAUAACUUUGUUUGAAAUCUAUUUCUUAUUGUAACAGAAAGUAAAAUAUGCCCUUUGUGUUUUAUAGAAAUGCAAGGUGUUUAAUGAAAAUUAUUUUAUGCUUACUGCUGUUUUUAAUACUGUUUUCUAAAAACACAUUUUAAGUAUAUUUCUUCUUAAAAUGGUCGAGAGGGGAGUGUAAGAACAUUUCGAAGAAAAUACACAACGCAGAGGACGAGAGGUCAAUAGAGUACUAACGAUCAAUGGAAAUAGUGUUUUUUCUGUCAUAUCAUUGGGUCAGAGACAUGGAGGAAUUUCAGUCCGGGACUCAUAGCUACAUGGCAAGCUCUCAUUUGUCCAAAUUAUUUAUACAUUGAACCUGAAAUAGUAUACUUGUUACUUGGCCAUUGGCCCAGUUUUAUUGCAAGGAAUUCUAAUUGGUCGACCACAGGCUAGGGCUGGGUUAUAAAACUACAUCCUGUCCCUUUGUUCUGUGGAGAGAACUACAGGAAAGAAUCACUGAGGACAGGGGAGCAUGAACAUCUACCAUCUACCUCCCCGGAUGAUGUGUUCUCUUUGAAUAAACCUAUUUUCCUCCCCCUGAUUUGCUUUGGGGUCUGUGUUAUUGAAGCAUUGUCACGUCCUGACCAGUAAAAGGGGUUAUUUGUUAUUGUAGUUUGGUCAGGACGUGGCAGGGGUGUGUUUGUUUAGUAUGUUUCGGGGUUUUUGGUUUAUGUUUUCUAUUUCUAUGUGGGUUUUUUAGUUUGUCUAUUUCUAUGUUAGUUUUGGGAACGACCUCCAAUUAGAAGCAGCUGGUUGUCGUUGCUUCUAAUUGGAGGCCAUAUUUAAGUGGGUUUAUUUUCUCUUGUGUUUGUGGGUGGUUGUUCCAUGUAUAGUCUUAGUACCUUACAGGACUGUUUUUCGAUGUUCUUUUGUUCAGUGUUCAUUUCUUUAAUAAAUCAAGAAGAU